ensembl:lncRNA
GUCAGAAAGCACACAGUCAAAGGUUUUUCUAUGCAGUGAGACAUUAUUUUGACCCUAAUGAACAGUCUGUGUUUAACAUACUGGUAAACGAUUAACAAGCAGUUUGAUGAGGAUGAAGUGGCUGUGCUAUUAGGCCCCUGUGGCAGCACCCAGAUGAGAGUGAUGUCCUUUUUGUCCUUUUCAGCAGACGAGAGCAGAUGAUAGCCCUGGAGGCCAGCCCUAUCCUGACCAGCUCUCAUCAGUGCUUUCUGGGCAGGCAGUUCCACUGAGAAGCUUCUAACUGACCAGCAGCUCCUUCAACAUUCAGCCUGCUUCUCCAACAAAGAUUCAAAC